rnacentral:rRNA from 1 species
UACAGAGGUCCCAAGCGUUGUUCGGAUUCACUGGGCGUAAAGGGUGCGUAGGUGGUGGGGUAAGUCGGAUGUGAAAUCUCUAGGCUUAACCUGGAAAUGGCAUCGGAAACUACCUUGCUCGAGGUUUGGAGGGGGGACUGGAAUACUUGGUGUAGCAGUGAAAUGCGUAGAUAUCAAGUGGAACACCAGUGGCGAAGGCGAGUCCCUGGACAACACCUGACACUGAGGCACGAAAGCUAGGGGAGCAAACAGG